rnacentral:rRNA from 1 species
ACAGAGGCCUCGAGCGUUGUUCGGAUUCAUUGGGCGUAAAGGGUGCGUAGGUGGCGAGGCAAGUCUGGUGUGAAAUCCUAGGGCUCAACCCUGGAACUGCACUGGAUACUACUUUGCUUGAGUACUGGAGAGGAGAUUGGAAUUUACGGUGUAGCAGUGAAAUGCGUAGAUAUCGUAAGGAAGACCAGUGGCGAAGGCGAAUCUCUGGACAGUUACUGACACUGAGGCACGAAGGCCAGGGGAGCAAACGGGA